GACGAACCACACGAACGUUAUUCGGAAUUACUGGGCUUAAAGGGUGCGUAGGCUGUGCAGAAAGUUAGGUGUGAAAUCCCCCGGCUCAACCGGGGAAUUGCGCUUAAAACUACUGUGCUAGAGGAAUACAGAGGUGAGCAGAACUUCGGGUGGAGCGGUGAAAUGCGUUGAUAUCCGAAGGAACACCGGUGGCGAAAGCGGCUCACUGGGUAUUUUCUGACGCUGAUGCACGAAAGCUAGGGGAGCAAACGGG
rnacentral:rRNA from 1 species